CUUUAGCACAAUGCACACUCAGCAAUAUCACAGGGAAUUGAAGCUGACAGGACACGGAAAAGUUUCAGUUAUGACACAAGUGUUACCAACCUCAGACUGUUCAGGCAAUCUGUGUAAAUUCAAGUAUAAGGGCAGAACUGGUUGGAUGUGAGACUUGGGGGAUAAGAAGUAGGUGGCGCUCAAUUCUGCUUUUAAAAAGAGUAUCCUAAUUGCUCUGCAGGUGUAAGAGCUCCAUCUCCACUGCAGCUCCAUCGUGUGUGAAAUAGCCUCGCCGUGUGUGCCUGCACGGUCGCCUCUGAGCUGUGGGAUGAAAACUUUGGAGCCAGCUCUGCAGUUCCACUCCCAGCUUUGGAUCUGCCCAUGCUACGUUCUAGCUGUACGACAGCCCUUUGUACAAGGGCAGAUAACUUCUCAAAUUAUGCAUCCAUGAAAACAAGUAAAAGAUGGGUUAUUUUUCAACUGGAUCAGUUAAGAAAAAGCCAAUGGCAGUGCAGAUGGUGAUGACAGCUCAUACAGGAAUGCUGCUAGAUUUCUAACCAUUGCCUUGAAACACUGAUUUCAAACUUCAGUGCUGUAAUGACACCAUAAAUGAAGGUUGAAGAAUCCAAACCAAAACCUAUUUCCCAGCUCUGGAAUCCCCACUAUUGAUAGAAGAUGAUUCUGCAUAAAGAAUACAGGUUUCUUCAGCCAUCCUUCUUUUCUAAAUCAGAGAUGAAAGGUACAGGUGGAAUGUCAAAUGCCUAAUUGUCAUAAAGCUAAAUAUUUGUUCAUGUGCUUAAGAUGCAAUAAAUCCUGGAGAGCGCUCUGCUUACACAAGAGGAUUUCAGCAUAGAGGCAUGCUCUAGAAAGGUGUUUGUGUAGGAGAGAGAGAAAUUCUGCAGGGUAAAGUCACUGAAUGAAAACCAGGUGUAUUUGGUGGGCAGUUAUUCUCUGAAGUUCACUGACAGAGGAACCCACGUAUGGAAGAGGAAACAAUAGAAGUACAGCGUCAUGACAGCAGCAGACACCAAUUCACUGGAGAUGGCAGAUGGACAGAACGCAAGUAGUUAUGGUUAAAAUUUAGUGAUUCUCAAUAAUAGCUGUCCCAGUGUGGGGAGGACCUGGAGAAUACCCAUGAGUGCUCUCGUGAACUGUGGUUAGCUCAACAGAGGCCUCUGCUGAGCAAAUAGUAACUGUCUGAGACAAGCUCAAAACCAGGCCGAGCAUCUCACCUUUAUAUACCCUUGUUAGGACCAUAUAGUAACCCUCUCACAGGCAACAUUGGGAGGACAGAAAAUUCCAUAUGGACAGGUAAGUGUGAAUAGAUCUAUCUUAUUUCUAAGGGGAAAAAAAUCAAGAGUUAUGCCUUAUGAAAUAAGAAUAUUCACAUAUGUUUUGCAAUUAGAGAACAUAUCUAUUUUUCCAUAAUUUUCUUUCUUAAAGGUUCAAAAGUCAUUUGAGCAAUUGUACCAGAGAGACUGAAAGUAUACCUUUGAAUCAUUUCAAACUGUUUUCUAUCUUUGUUUAACUGAAUUUACCACAUUGAAACUGAGUCAAACCAUUGAUUUAUCAGAAGUACUUUAUUCUUCACUCUAGAUCUGUGCAGAUCUAAGCUAUAAACAAGGAAAGCAGUGAAAAAUUGCAUUUGUAAAUAUUUUAGAGAAGACUGCUGUUCUGUGGAGCUUUAUGCUGUUUUCUCUGGUGCUAUCGAGUGCUUUGUAGAAGCUCAUUUGGGAAAUGUAUUCUUUGAUUUUGGUAAUCAAUUGAUGAACAUUUGAAGCUUUGCUCAGACACACAGUUAUUGUGAAGAGCAGUACUUUCAAGUAUCCAUUUGAUUGUGUUUGUGAUGCCUGCUUUAUUCGACUCUGCUCCAGGCAAAUUAAAAUGUACUGCUAUGUAAUAAGUAUGGGAAGGUUAGCAUUCACACUUUAGGGAUAAAACAUUUUGACAGUUCUAUUCUACAUUUGCAUUUAAAAAUUGUAACGCUUUUAAUUAGACCCUAUGUUUAUUGUAGGAUCUCUUGUAGGCAUUACUACUGUGAGAUUGUUACCUUUCAGGAUUUGUUCUGGACUGCUUGUCUGUGGGGAAGCACAAAGCCUGCUGGUUCCACAUACAUUUUGUUUUCUGGUCCAUGGUAUGUCUCAUUUUCUUUAAUUUAUCAUGGGGCUCCACCUGUACCACUACUGCUGAGUCAUUUGCGUUUGUUUCUGAGACUUUUUAAUGUGCAGAGUUAGGGAGGUACAUAUGCAUAGUUCUGUCUUACAUGCCUGGUAUAUUUUGCAAUGGGCCUCUAAAUUCUCAGGUUUUGGUGCACAGUAGAAUCCCCAAGGGGACAAAGGAAGACAUUGUCUGGAGAGAGACAGGAGAUACUGCCAUGAUACCCAUUAUCUUUUUAGCCAGUGGACAGGUGAUGCUUAUGCACAGCAUAUGCACAGACAAUGGUCAACAUUCUGAGCUCAUGAAAGCGAUCACUGACAAAGGCUGAUGUCUGAAGGACUGGUCACUAAAACUGUCCAUAUUAUUUGCUCCUCUUUUAUUUUAUCCUUCAUCUUUCUGUAUUGGUAAUGUCCAGGAGGGAUUCGAGUAACCUGAUAUAACAUCUGCAACAUUGCUAUCACCAAGAAAACAUUCAUUGAGAUAAUCAGGCAAAUGUACACUGUCUCAAGAGGCUUGUGUGUAAAUUAGACCAAGCAAUCAAAAAAACCCCCAAAACUAACAAACUGGCUAGAUGCUUCUGACUUUUCAGAAGAGCAGAGAGAAGCAAGAAAACAUUGUAGGUUUUACCAGGAAAUUGUAUUUGAGCUGAAAUAAGGUCUUCUCCCUGAUAGUUUAGCCAGUCCCUAGAGAUUUUGAGUAAUUAUUAUUACAUUUGCCUUGGGAAGGAUAUGGUCUUAGUUGGUACCAGAAAUCUUGUGCAGAGAAUUCUCCAGGAGCUCCUUCCUGCAUUAGGCCCCAUUACUCUGUCUCCACAGCCCAGGAAACUCAAACACCCUCAUAGACUAGGGUGAGCUGCUCUUUUCUGUACCUUCCUUCACUUCUGGGAGCUGUUUCUUCUGACUCAGCAAUAAAUAGCAGAGAAGGGAAGUACUCUGGGAAUUCAGAUAUAUGAUGUGUACAAAGUCAUGCUUUCUGAUUGUGAAGGGGACCACAAGUAAAUCCUCCCUGUGCACCCAGAUUGGAUCUUGCAUUGAAAAACAUCAAAAUCUGAAUUAUACAGAGGCUAUGCGGCACUAUGGGUAAGUGCAUUGGCCUUUCAUGUCUUAUUAUGUUGUUAAUUAGUUAAUGUUUGUAAAGCACUUUGAAGAUGAAAAGCCCUAUAUAAGUUCUAAGUGUUAUUAUCUCUAGAGACCUGGGUUCAAUUCAAAGGUGCUUAAUUACAUAUGCCAUAAAUUAGACUUAAUGAGUUGUGGAAUCAUAUGCUUUAUGUGAUGCAUGCAGGUUUCUCAGCUAGAUCCAGGCCUUAUGGUCUGCUGCAGUACUACUUUAGGUAUUCAGAGCUGUUAAGAGAAAUUACACAAAAGUAGAGCUGAUAAUUUCUAAAAAUAAUUGGAUUGCAUUUCAGUACUAUUUAGGACUUGGUAAAGCGAAUUACCAGGAGCUUUGUUCUGUUUUAUCUAGGGAUUUUCCAGUGCCCAACUUCAAAUUGCUGAAGGUAACGUUAUUGUUUUUAAAUUGUGGUAGAGACAUAAUUCUAAUUCUUUCUUCUGUUCCAUAUUUUGGCUUAUCAGAAGGGAGCCGAGAGGUGUGCUGUCCUUCCCGUAAUGCCCCGAAAUGUCCCAGCAGGGCUGGGAACCUCUUGGUGGUGGGUUAUGUUCACAAGGAUGAGAAAAGAAGUUCCCAUCUCUAGAGAUACUAUCAUAUAAUUUACAACAAGCCAUUACAAGUGGGUAACGUGCAAAAAGGGGAAGUAACAGUUAUAGGAAAAUGUGGUUUCAUUGGCUUUGCAGAGCCGAGAGUUUCCAUGUUAUGUAACAUAUAUUUUGUGGCCAGAAAGCUACAGAAUUUGCCCUGCUGAAGCCCGGGCACCGGGGCGGCUGUCCGGCAGUGAGCGCAGCCAGCUUCUCAUGGCUGUUCCUCAAUCAGCAGAGACACACAGAAAACCGGCAGGAUUGUUCACCUGGCCUAACGGGGCUCCGUGUGUUCCCACAGCAGAAUAUCUCCAUUUUACCCUGGGCCUUUCACAGGCAUAUAGAGAGAGGCAGGAUUUAUCCUGCCUAUAAAUAUGUUAGAAGUGAUUGUGUUCAUUAGUACACCCUAAGUAGAUUGGAAAAACUAAUUAAUAGCAAUUUACUAUAAGUGUCUCUAACAGACUUGCUCCAAAGUAUUUAUCCUGAAGUGAAAGUUAUUUGAUUUUGUUAAUGUUUAUUGUAAGCAUAUGCAGACUAUCUUCCAGGGGAAAAUGUAUUUUUGAGUGCUCCAGACGAUUGAAACUAGUGAGCCCACUGUCUGGAGAAAGCAUCUGUAACCACAGCCAAAAGAGGAACGAGAUUUCCGACAUUCUUUCAAGACAUGUGUUUGAAGCAUGGGUUCCCAUCACUUUCAGAGUGACUUGCAGGCCAUUUUCUUUAUAUAGAUUUAGACAAGUCAAUGUGGUCCUGGAUUCAUCUUGAUGAAUGCCUUUGUGAUUUCUCCCUCAUCCAUUUUCUCCUGUGAUAUUUUAUUGCUUAUAUUGAAUAGGAGUAUGUUCUCAGGAAACUUUAAAUGGGAUGAAGCAUGGUUUCGGACUUUUUUUAUCACUCACAUUUCUGUAUUCCUAAGAAAUAGAUCUAGUCCUAAUUACUGGGGUGCAUCUCCUUCAAAAACAAGAUACAGUUUUGCUGAAUACUUUUCAUAUAAUCUAAUAAAUAGGAACUUCACAUGAAUGCUGAUUUGAGCUCCAGACUGUGGUUAAACGUUUUAAUGGUGUAGCAAACUUAUCAACAAACCUUUCCUUCCCCACCCUACCCCCUUCCCUUUUUAUAAUGAACAGAUUUUUAUCCGACUGGCUUGUGACUUGGGGAUUUUUACAAGUAGGUUUGGGAACUUGUGAAAUAUUUUAAAAUUUGAGUCUGAAAACAAAACAAAAGAUCUUUUAAAAAUGGUAUUUUAUACAGUGUGUAUAUCAACUGGGUAAAAUUUUGAUUUGCUGAAGGAUUCUAUUCUCUGACCUAACUAUCACUACUUAGCUAGAAGUUACCAGUCUGAUUCCUUUUUUUAAUACUCCAAGACACCGUAUAUAGUAGUGUAACUCCACUGAGGUACCGAAUCAAUGGACCUCUAAGAUCCUCUUCAUUUCUGAUCUACUACAGCCUUUUGUCAAAAGGCGAUAAGAAUAUUCAUGUUGUUAUUAUUUCAUAUGGGCAUUUUAGGUCUGCCUCUUUUCCUUCUCUGUUUCCAAGAUGUUAGUGACUGACAUACUCCAGCAAUGAUAUCACUAGUGCUUAACCAUCAGCGAAGAAGCUAUCUGAGCAAAUGAGAAAGCUGUAAGCUCUAGCAGCUGUGCCGCACUGCCCGUUACAGAGACAUCAGGCAGGAGGAACAACUGUACGUUGUGAGAGCGCUUUUUUACAGCCAGGCCUCCAACCCUGACCAAGUGUGCUAAUGGCUGAUAAGGCCGCUCUUUGAGAAAACAAUUAAUGGGUUACAAGAGGCAUUAAAUGUGCGUGGAGAAACAUCUUGGUGAGUUAAUAUCCAGUAAAGAACUCGGGUCACUUGGUGGUUGUGUUGGUGACCCAGUUAGGAUUUUUACAAAAACAGUCACCGUCCUUUGACUUGUGACUUCCACAGUCAUUUUCCUAUUUUAAGUCCCUAAUUCAACAAAGCACUGAUCUGUCUCUCCCGGAAAGUCUUUGACCACGGAAGCUCUGCUCAUGAAGUCUGGAAGACUUCUGGAUCGUUACUGCCUCCAGCCUCUUCUCCCUGUCUGCAAGCAAGGGGUUAUCACAGGUCAGCUGCAGAACGGAAAGCGCGGCAGUAAAUUGUGGGUGGACCUGUGGAUUUUGUUUCAGCAGACCUGAAAAGUUUACUGCUGCACGAUUCUUGAAUUUCUUUCUCUCUACAGUCAAGAUGUGGUGCAGAAAGGAAGAAAAUCACACACAAAAUGAAAAAAAAAAUAUUAAAAAAGGUUAGCUCGUUGAUUGAACUGUUGGUCUUAGCAGGGGAAGGGUGAGAAGCAUACAGGG